GAUUGAACGCUGGCGGUAUGCUUAACACAUGCAAGUCGAACGGAAACGAUACUAGCUUGCUAGUAGGCGUCGAGUGGCGGACGGGUGAGUAACGCGUAGGAAUCUGCCUGAUAGUGGGGGAUAGCCCGAAGAAAUUCGGAUUAAUACCGCAUAAUCUAUUCGUAGUAAAGUGGGGGACUUUCGAGCCUCACGCUAUCAGAUGAGCCUGCGUAAGAUUAGCUUGUUGGUAGGGUAAAAGCCUACCAAGGCGACGAUCUUUAGCUGGUCUGAGAGGAUGAUCAGCCACAUCGGGACUGAGACACGGCCCGAACUCCUACGGGAGGCAGCAGUGGGGAAUAUUGGACAAUGGGGGCAACCCUGAUCCAGCAAUACCGCGUGUGUGAAGAAGGCCUGAGGGUUGUAAAGCACUUUCAAUUGUGAAGAAAAGUUAGCGGUUAAUAACCGUUAGCCUUGACGUUAACUUUAGAAGAAGCACCGGCUAACUCCGUGCCAGCAGCCGCGGUAAUACGGAGGGUGCAAGCGUUAAUCGGAAUUACUGGGCGUAAAGCGUGCGUAGGCGGUUUAUUAAGUCAGAUGUGAAAGCCCCGGGCUUAACCUGGGAACUGCAUUUGAAACUGGUCAACUAGAGUAUGGUAGAGGAAAGUGGAAUUUCUGGUGUAGCGGUGAAAUGCGUAGAUAUCAGAAGGAACAUCAAUGGCGAAGGCAGCUUUCUGGACCAAUACUGACGCUGAGGUACGAAAGCGUGGGUAGCAAACAGGAUUAGAUACCCUGGUAGUCCACGCCGUAAACGAUGAUAACUAGCCGUUGGGGGGAUUUACCCCUUAGUGGCGAAGCUAACGCGUUAAGUUAUCCGCCUGGGGAGUACGGCCGCAAGGUUAAAACUCAAAGGAAUUGACGGGGACCCGCACAAGCGGUGGAGCAUGUGGUUUAAUUCGAUGCAACGCGAAGAACCUUACCUGGUCUUGACAUCCUGCGAACUUUCUAGAAAUAGAUUGGUGCCUUCGGGAACGCAGUGACAGGUGCUGCAUGGCUGUCGUCAGCUCGUGUCGUGAGAUGUUGGGUUAAGUCCCGUAACGAGCGCAACCCCUAUCCUUAUUUGCCAGCACAUCAUGGUGGGAACUAUAAGGAGACUGCCGGUGAUAAACCGGAGGAAGGCGGGGACGACGUCAAGUCAUCAUGGCCCUUACGACCAGGGCUACACACGUGCUACAAUGGGAAGGACAAAGAGCCGCGAAGCCGCGAGGUGUAGCUAAUCUCAUAAACCUUUUCGUAGUCCGGAUUGGAGUCUGCAACUCGACUCCAUGAAGUCGGAAUCGCUAGUAAUCGUAGAUCAGAAUGCUACGGUGAAUACGUUCCCGGGUCUUGUACUCACCGCCCGUCA
rnacentral:rRNA from 1 species